UACAGAGGUCUCAAGCGUUGUUCGGAUUUACUGGGCGUAAAGGGCGCGUAGGCGGCGCAACAAGUCACUUGUGAAAUCUCCGGGCUUAACUCGGAACGGUCAAGUGAUACUGUUGUGCUAGAGUGCGGAAGGGGCAACUGGAAUUCUCGGUGUAGCGGUGAAAUGCGUAGAUAUCGAGAGGAACACCUGCGGCGAAGGCGGGUUGCUGGGCCGACACUGACGCUGAUGCGCGAAAGCCAGGGGAGCGAACGGG
rnacentral:rRNA from 1 species